GGGUCUAUAGCUCAGUUGGAUAGAGCGGAAGUCUACGGAACUUCAGGUCGGGGGUUCGAGUCCCUCUAGGCUCAC
rnacentral:tRNA from 1 species